GGAGCUUUAAACCCAACAGCACCCGUUUAUUUUCAUCCUCACAUAAGUUAGGUUAUGCCUGUUUGGUUUUAGGUUGGGGUGACCACGGAGUAUAAAACAACCUCCAUGAAAAAAGGACCAAAAAUCCUUAUUAGAGAAAGACAUUUCUAAAAUUAAUAAAUUAAUUUUUAAUGAUCCGAUAUUCGAUCAACGAACCAAGUUACCCUGGGGAUAACAGCGCAAUCCACUUCAAGAGCUCCUAUCGACAAGUGGGUUUACGACCUCGAUGUUGGAUCAGGGUAUCCUAGUGGUGCAGCAGCUACUAACGGUUCGUUUGUUCAACGAUUAAAACCCU
rnacentral:rRNA from 1 species